GGUGAAUGUCAACCAAUCAGGUCCGGCGGGGUUUGGUUGGCUGCUGAUUAUAAAAGGGAGGAUGAGACUAAAAGCACUCCAGUGUGUUUUUACCUUACUUUUGGUAUACAAUGGGAGGUUCGUCUGUUGAAGAUCCUGGGCCAGCCACAAGAAGGCAACGUGGACAAUGUGUAAUGAAGAUGGUGUUGACGUCCAGUGCAUAACCUGCAUUAUUUUCAGAUAUAAGAGCUGGCGGGGAUUUUUGACUGGAAAUAGUAUUGACAAUAAAGUUGACUACACCA